rnacentral:rRNA from 1 species
GAUAAACGCUGGCGGCGUGCAUAACACAUGCAAGUCGAACGAUGAAGAUUAAAAGAUUCCUUCGGAAUGAACUUAAUUGGAUUAGUGGCGGACGGGUGAGUAACGCGUGAGUAACCUGCCUUGUACAAGGGGAUAGCCGUUGGAAACGACGAAUAAUACCCUAUGACAUCAAAUAAUCGCAUGAUAAUUUGAUCAAAGAUUUAUCGGUAUAAGAUGGACUCGCGUCUGAUUAGCUAGUUGGUAGAGUAAAAGCCUACCAAGGCAACGAUCAGUAGCCGGCUUGAGAGAGUGUACGGCCACAUUGGGACUGAGACACGGCCCAGACUCCUACGGGAGGCAGCAGUGGGGAAUUUUGCACAAUGGGGGAAACCCUGAUGCAGCGACGCCGCGUGAUUUAGAAGGCCUUCGGGUUGUAAAAAUCUUUUGUAUGGGAAGAAAAUGACAGUACCAUACGAAUAAGGACCGGCUAAUUACGUG